UAUCACUAAGCGGAGGAAAAGAAACUAACCAGGAUUCCCCUAGUAACGGCGAGUGAACGGGGAUCAGCCCAGCACCGAAGCCUGUGUCCUUUUGGAUGCUAGGCACUGUGGUGUUUAGGCGGUGACAUGUCGGCUCAUCUGCUGCCCCAAGUCCAGUAAUGAAUAUGGCUCUUAUAUUGGCCCAGAGAGGGUGAAAGGCCCGUGGGGGUGGUUGUGGUGAGUUGACUGGUUCCGCCUUGGAGUCGGGUUGUUUGUGAAUGCAGCCCAAAGUGGGUGGUAGACUCCAUCUAAGGCUAAAUACUGGCACGAGUCCGAUAGCGAACAAGUACCGUGAGGGAAAGUUGAAAAGUACUCUGAAGAGAGAGUUAACAGUGCGUGAAACCGCUGAGAGGUAAACGGGUGUAGUCAAGCUGCAAGCUCUGGGGAUUCAGCUAAUCAGUAUGACGUGUGUGCAUGAGCACAUUUUUGGUCUGUUGCGGUCCGCCUAAACUGGUGGGCUCGGCUCUUUUGGGUCGAGUGCUUGGGUAUCAAAUGGAUACUGAGCGCCGUGCAGAGUCCAAUUGCUGGUUGGUGCACUUCCUCAGAGUGUAAGCCACGACCGCCGUAGCUGCCGGUCUGCCGGGAUCAACCGGCUUGGUGGGGCUAUAUAGCUCAAUCAGGUCGGGAUGGCAGGUAGCCUGGUGUGUUCGUUCGCGUGCAUGUCGGGUGUUAUAGCCGAUCCUUGUGCGGUUCAUAAACUGUGCAGUGCGGUGGAGAUAUCGACGUGUUGGCAACGGCUUACGUGCUAAAGUCUGCCGGCGUGUGCAACGUCUGGCUGCCUGUAGUCGAUGAAAAAUUCGGCCUGGCGGCGGCUUGUCCACGGUGUAGCGGGCGGCGGCGUGAGCUAGCCAUCGGCCUUGUGUCGGUUCGUCGUCUAUAGUCUGUGGCGUAGUGGUAGACGAUCC
rnacentral:rRNA from 1 species